GCCCAACUGAAGCUAUUUUAAGCUGCUGACCAGCUAGAAAAUUGAGAUGCAAAACUUCCUUCACAGACUUUGACACAUAAUAAAUUCUCUUGACAUGGUUCAUAUCACUAUUCCUGGUAAUCAAAUGUCCUUCGAAUAGAAAGGAUUCCUUGAUACCGUAGAAAUCCUUUAUCUUACUCACAACGGCCUCCUCCUUGUAAAAUAUAACCGGAUCAACCCCUCUCCACUUGCCUUGCAUUUGUAACUUUCUUUUCCCUCUCCCAGUCUCGGGCUCAGCUCUUGUAUCAGUUGAAGGUUGAGUUUCCUCUUUCUCGGUUUUCUCCAAUAUUUCACUGGGCUCAGUAUCCAAUGCAGUUUCAUCUGUUCCAUUGCCAGCCCCAUCCAUAGUCACAUCUUCGCUAACAACGGAAUCUACUGGCUUAACAUCCUCGGUAUCUUCAUCUUCUUUGACCUUAGUUGUUACACUUUCAUCUUGAAUAUCAGCAUCAUCCAUAGUCACUUCUUGGGUACCAACAGAAUCCACUGGCUUAACAUCCUCUACAUUCACGUCUUCUUUGACCUUAGUAGUUAAACUUUCCGCUUGAAUAACAUCACUGGAUUUUGGCUUCCCUCGCGAAGACACAGGUUUCUUCUGCUGAAAGGCUGCAGCCGGCAAAGGAGAGAGCUUUUGAAAUA
rnacentral:misc_RNA from 1 species